UUGCGGCUGGAUCCCCUCCUUUCUAUGGAGAAUUGAUGAACGCUGUUCAUCAAUAUAAGUUCCGUGUUUCGUUUUGUUCAGUUUUGAGAGAACUAUCUCUCAUAUAUAAAUGUAUGUUCUUUGAAAACUAGAUAACAGUGUAGCUCAUAUUUUUUUAAUUUUAGUUUGGUUAAGUUAGAAAGGGCGCACGGUGGAUGCCUUGACACUAGGAGUCGAUGAAGGACGGGACUAACGCCGAUAUGCUUCGGGGAGCUGUAAGUAAGCUUUGAUCCGAAUUUCCGAAUGGGGAAACCCGG
rnacentral:misc_RNA from 1 species